CCCUCUUGUUGCUGGCAAUCACUUCACCGCGUCUUCCGUAGUGAUUGACACCUUGACAGCGUGACAUGAGGGGAAGGAACUCGCCAGGGAACAGUGUUAGUUCCUGACCAGAAGGAUUUGUCACGUGCUAGAUCUUGUACAGAGAGCGAUGGGGCAACAGGCAGCUGACGUGGUUCUCCGUGUGCAGCUGCAGGAGACACCCACCCUGGACCUGUAUUACCAGGAGAACACGUCUGUACAUGAGGAGGACGAGCUGGCGGCCAUCUUGCUUGCCCAGUGGAACCAUUACUACAAGAAGCGGCAGAGUGGAGCAGUGAGGGCCCGCGAGGUGACGUGUCAGACCCAGCCCAGGUACAACAUGGAUAAGACCACGCAGAAGUCAGCCACCACCACGCAGGAGAAUGGUGCCAUGGCUACCCAGUGGAGUCUGUAUGAUGAGUACCGGAUAGCAGAAGGAAGGAAGGAUGAAGAAGAGGAGAGCAAGAAGCAGGAGCAGGAUGAGCCCGAGGAGGUGGGUGGAGUGAGGGUGGAUGGGCUGCUGCGUGGACUGGGCUGGGUGGAGCGGCAACUUUCCUCCAGUGACAACAUCCACCUCCUGCACAUCUUCAGCGACUGCCUCCAGACACAACAGUUUGACUCACGCUCAUACUUGGCAGGGCGGCGGGUGAGUGCAGCGGGGGAGGGUUGCCGUGCUGAGGACCUGUGGGGAUUCCUGUGUCCUGCCACAGCCGGCCACAGAGUGAAUGGUGUAACCUUCUGCAGGAAUUCACAGUGGCUGGUGCUGGCGGCGUAUGGCAACCUUUCCUUCACCGAUGUGCCACAGGGCUUCCUGUGUGGCUGGAAUGGCAAGAGGAUUGGUGAACCUGAGGUCAGACUGGCACUGCCUGGCCCAGCCACAGCUGUGAGCUGGUGCCCGUCAGCACCGGAGCUGUGUUGUGUGGCCCUGAUGGACGGCAGCCUCAGGGUGUACCAGCUGGCCUCACCAGUCCCUCAUCUGCUUGUGGACACCAGUGGCAGUGUGGACAAGCACUGCGGGCCGGUGUGGGCCGUGGAGUGGCGUCCAUCCCCAGCCGGUAGCCCCAAGGAUGGUCCGCUGCAGCAGGCGCUGGUGACUGCCUCUGAGGACGGCAUGGUGAAGGAAUGGGUGCUGGGGGAGGAGGGGAGCCUGGCACGCUGCACUGCACUGAUGAAGGUGUGCCUGCCGCCAUGGGUGUCGCUGGAGGUCACUGGUGGCCUGGGUGAGAUCCUGAGGCUGGCUGAGGUAGAGCGAGGGCCGGCUGGACCAACAGGGGGCGGCCAGCUGCUACCUGAGACAGUGCCGGCCACAGUGCUCAAGUUCCGGCCGGGCGAUCCCACCUCCUACCUGGUGGGCACUGUGGCUGGCCACCUGCUGAUGUGCCGGACAUUUGAGCGACGAGGCAGUGUGGCAGUGUUUCAAGGUCACCGUGGCCUGGUCACUGCCCUGGAUUGGCGGCCCAUGAGCCCUUCGGACCCCUCGGUGGUGUUCCUCUCCUCUGCCCUGGACGAUACUCUCAGAGUGUGGCACGUGGACCGCCGCGAGUCACACUGCAUCCUCAAGAACCCUCAGGCUUCCUCUGGUCCAGGAGGGUACGUGGAUGCCUGCUGGUGUCCCUGGUACAACAACCUGAUAGCCAGUGUCCAUGGGGGUGGCCUGCACCUGUGGGACAUCUCCGUGUCCACCCACACACCUAUUGUGGCUCAUGCUGUGCCUGGAGCCACUUGUGCCACCUUCAGUCCCCACACCAGGAAUGUGGUGGUGGGGGAUGCCAGUGGUGCGGUGAGGGUGGUGCAUCUGGAGGGCCUCACCAUCACCACCUCCACUGCCUUCCAUCGCUUCUCCUCCGUCCUCACCAGGAUAUCCAUGCUGGGACCCAAGGAAGAGGAGAAGAGCAGUGAGUGACGCUGAAGGAAAAGGUUGAAGUCGGUCAGUGCCAGUGAUGUGGUGUCACUUGAUAACACUUCCAUCACAAACAGUACAGUCAAUGCAAGCUGUUUUCAUCGCCAGUCUUUUAUGAAUGUCCAGUGUCUAGAAUUCUUAUUAAAAUGACUUAAAGUGGUGCAGCCUAUCUUGACCCUUGCCACUCACCUACUCACCAUCAGUCACCACACCACUUCUCAGACAUUACUCACCACACUACCACACUCCUUCAGGACAAACAGCUGAAACAAGACAUCUUUUGCCUCACCACACAAGUAACAAUAGGAGUGUCCCUUGCUGUCCCCUUGUCACUUCCACAACCCACACACACACACACACACACACAAAUUUAAGAAGUUAGACAAAUGUAGAUAUGGAGACAGGUCACUAUGAGCCCCGCUUGAACCCUGUAACAUACAACUAGGUAAAUACAUGCACGCACACAUACGUACAGCAUACAGUGGCAGCAUUCCUUCAGUGUGGCUGUGCAAACAAAACCUUCAACAGUGAAAACUCAGAAUAAUUUGAGUGUUACAUUUUCAUUUCUUUAUUAAUUUCCGUAUAUAACCAUUUUACAUAUUUUAAAGAAACUUAUAAAAAUACUUAAUGUUAUCCUUGAUACGUACAAUGCUGAGAACUUAGUAAAUGAUGCACCAGAGAGAGAGAGAGAGAGAGAGAGAGAGAGAGAGAGAGAGAGAGAGAGAGAGAGAGAGAGAGAGAGAGAGAGAGAGAGAGAGAGAGAGAGAGAGAGAGAGAGAGA